CUUAAAGGUAGCCGCACAGGAAACCUGUCAGCCCUGCCCGUGAGACCUCAUUUUGGAAACUGAGAGAGGAGGGAGCGCAUCCAUGGUGCUGAGGCAGUCAGGGUCCACCAAAUCUGCUCUCCACAUGUCAGCUUUAACAAGCAGAAAACAAGGUUUGUGGAAAAGAAUGACAAUCAUCUUCCUCGUGGCAUGUUGUCCAGUCAGAGUGCUCUGAUUCAAAGGGGACAAACUGCAUCCAAAGAGAGAUCUCUUUACUAUUUCAACUUUUAAGACAGUCUUUUAGUCAAUGCUGUCAUCCUCAGACCUAUGGGUUUGUCUUUGGUAUGAAUUUUACCCAGAAGCAGGCUGAAUGUAAAUUAACAAAUCAGCAAGUAGUCCACAGAUACAGACUAAUGAAAUAUAAACAGGCAUUUUAUUACAUUUUUUAGGAUUUUGAUUUAUCAGAGAUGUUAACCAUCAAAUUCUGUGAACUAAUUCAGGACACUGCUAUUAGAGACUCCUGCACUCUACUGCUACAGCAAGAUGACUUGGGACUUCAAUGAUGCUUGGGUAAAAUGAGUGACUUUAACUGCUCUGUGAAGUAUUUUACUUCUAAUUUUCAAACAAGUCAACGUGGCUUCAGCACAGCUCUGUUACAGCGCCCAGAGGGAUCCAGCUAAAUGGCACAUUAAAACCUCUCCCAGAAGAUGCAGCUAGAUGAGUUUUGCAGACAGAAAAACCAGCUCAAGAAGUUCCUGCCCUACUUGCACAGAGCCACCCUCCACCCCUUUCCCAAGCCCUGCCAGCAUCGCCGGCUGCGGGGCUCUCUCGAAAGCUGGAUUGCUGGAAUAACUGAGGCAAAAACAGCUUCUUCAAGGGGUUUUGAUGCCAGAGCGGUUGCUGAUCACCAGCACCCAUAUAUCCCCCAUUUCUGCCCCAAACUGAUGGGGAGAGCCCCCAUCGGUUUGCUUGGGGCUGCUCUUCGGGCAAAUACCAACUCCCUUCGGCUCCUCUGGCUGAGAAGGACCACAGAGCAAAGAGCCAAGUGGUGGGAACACCAGCAGACCGAGGGAAGACCCACUGAUUUAUAAAUAAAAGGAGGAAAAUCCAAACAAACGAAUUCGGUUAUGAGCAUCAAUUAGGGCCCGCUGAAAGGCCGGGCACAGCAAGCCCCACAGCGCAGAGCCAUGGCCACCAAAUCUUAACGGUGGCAUCUUCUGCACAGGGCUUUCCCCUCCUCUCUGUGAAGAGUGUAGUCAAUUUUCUUCCAAAGCAACCUCCCUUCUAUACCUACGAAAACACAGCACUCUGAGGUAUGCCAAUAGCCCACUGUAACUGCUUCACUUCAUGAAAUGGAUUUAACAUGAGCAAGCAUCAGGCUGUUCUGCUGAAAGUGUUUCCCAGCCUCCAAGCCCACAAAGCUUUGUUAUUGGGGUCAGGAAAACCGCUGAGAGAUUUUAAUUCAGGGGUCCCUAUGCUACAGCGAGGCAAAAAAAUAGCUGAGAAAACAACUCAGGCUGAUGACACCUGACUUCACUCCUACCAAAACAGGAGGCACUCGCUCAGAGGCCAGUACUUCAGCGGUGAUGCUCAACAGAGCAGGACCUGUGGGAGGUGAACCAGCACACCAGAAAUCACCUGCACUCGCACCUGACACUGGAAGCACCCCAUAGCAGCCAGUCCAGCUGCCAGAGAGAGAGAAAGAGGCUUCCACAAAUGACCAGACAUUAAUCCACUGAGGAGAGCCAUCUCCUUAAUAAAUCUGUCCUCUGAAAUGAGGCUUCCCGUGCACAGAUGUGUCAGACCCUCUCCUCCAAAGGCGCAGCCUGGGAAGGAUUGGGCAGCUUCCCUCUCCCUGCAUGGCACAGGACAGGGCUGAGAGGCAGCUGGGAGCCCUGGUGAGGAGGUGGCUGGUGGUGUGCCUCCCUGGUGCUGCUGGCGGGUCUCCCUGGGCACCUUCUACCUACACACAGUAAGUGACGAGGCUAGAACAUCGCCCUUCUGGAAGUGUGUCAAGCACAGCUGUCAAUAACAUCUCUGUUUUAAGCAGACUGUACUGUUGGAUGUUUCACCUCAGGCAAAGAGGGUUUCUAAAUCCAAAAAGCUCAUGCACCUGGAGGAAGAGACACCUGAUCGACAAGCGUGACCUACUGCAAGUUUUUGCUUCCCAAUUCAUGAACCACUUUUCUUUUUUCUCCCCUUUCCUUUCUUAUGUUAUCAAGCACUGGAGCUGAAAAAAAAAGCAGAAUUCAGCUGGCGCCCUGUCCUUGCCACGAUGCCAUCCCAUGCAUGGUCAAUGGGAUGCAGCAUCCUCUACAGCCCACUUCUGCAGCCCAUCUCCCAACCUCACUCUGCAACACUCUCGCUUUUAGAGAGAUGUUGAAAGAAUCAGAGGAAAUCCUCCGCCUGAAAGUACUGCACAAACCACCUGCUCCACUGGAGCGAGGAAGCUUUGCAGAUGACUACACCAAGGAGUCCUGCACAGUCCUUUUCUCCCUUGCAGACAGCAGAUCAGCACGUAUCUUUGGGGGUACUCUAGACAGAGUUCAGGAGGCUCACCACUGCUGUUCACAUACUGCAAAGCUUCCCCAUGAACAUCUAACUGUGAAACAAAGAAUGAAAACUCAAUUAAAGAUGAAAGGGUCACUCAUCAGUAAAUAAUGCACCAUGAAGUCAGAAAACACUGUGACUCCUGCUUUCUAUCCUUCCCCCAGAAAAUAAGAAAGUUGGAAGUCAGCUGCAAACUGAGCGAAUGCCUCUUUUAGCCCCAGUGUUGGGAUACUCUGCACGCUGUUCUGAAGUUAACACAAUACUUUCAAUAAUUUAUAGCUAACCUUUUAUCCUACUGUAUUUUGAAAUCUACUCCCUUAUACUAAUAAAUAA